GUAGAAGAGCUUUGCACAAACAGUUUGUGCGAAAUCGAGAAGCGCGUGUUCUGCGCGAUGUUACGGAGUUAGAUAAGCGCAAAUGUAGUUCAUUUUCAAACUGUUUUUCAGAAGUUGAAGGCGCAUUGAUGACCAGUGGGACCAAGGGCCUUUGGUGGUUAAAUAUGCCUUUAUAUACAUGGACACCAGAUGCAUGUGCUUAGAAAGAUGAUUUUUGAUUAAGAACUCAGAGCAAGAGUAUCUUUAAUGGUGUAUACAAAUUUGACAAACAACGCAUUUUAAUGUCUGAUAACUACAUUUCCUAUCCAUCAGUUCUACUUCAUGAAAGUUAGUUUUGGUUUGUGAGUGCAUUAAAUGUUUUACAGCAGAUUCUUUAGCUACAUUAUCAAAACUUAUCUGGGUGGCAAGUUUAUGGGACUUACUGACCAAAAGGUCAUGGUGAAUAGCUGUAAGUCAUAAAGUAGAUGAAAUUCUUGACCAAGAUGUAUCCUUCAGUAGUUUCUUCAAAGUGUCUAAAUAUGUUUCCAGCCCUCUAUUGGUUUACCACCAAAAUAUUUGUAUUUCAAAGAUCUGUGCAAAGAUUUGGCGUGCAUGUUGGUGUUAAUGCCUGCGUUCUUUUGAUAACACUGGGCCCAUGACUUCAUGCGCUCUUUAUUUUGAAAGUAGCAUUCCAAUAUGUAGCUGUAACUAUCAUCUGUCAUGAAAUAAUUGGGUACCAGAACCGA